rnacentral:lncRNA from 10 species
GUUUGUUUUCAAAUUGGUAAUAGAUAUAAUGGUAUAAAAUUGGAAAGAGAAUUUCUCAUCCCUGCUGCUUCACUGCACAGUUUACUGGUUACCCAUUCUCCAGCCCAGAGGAAACCAGCCCUCAGAUUCUUGUGUGCUACUUCAGAGGUAGCUGUUUACGUGCAAGAAUGUAUGUAGGUAGGUAUGUCUGAGCAGAUAGAUAGUCUGAAUUUAAUUUCUUUGCAGAAACUGUAGCAUACCAUGCAUCCUAUUCUACAAAUUAUAUGUAUUUAUUGAUUUGAAUUUUAUUGUUUGAAAAAGAAAUGCAAUCGUAUGGUUCAACAUUUAAAAGGUAUAAAAGAGGUCAGGCGUGAGUCACCAUGCCUGGCCAGGUCCCACUUGUCAAUUUUUGUUUUUGUUGCAGUUGCUUUUGAGGACUUAGCUAUAAAUUCUUUGCCAAGACUGAUGUCCAGAAUAGUAUUUCCUACGUUUUCUUCUGGGAGUCUUAUAGUUUG